rnacentral:rRNA from 1 species
UACGUAGGGUGCGAGCGUUUGUCCGGAAUUACUGGGCGUAAAGAGCUCGUAGGUGGUUUUGUCGCGUUGUCCAUGAAAACUCACAACUCAAUUGUGGGCGUGCGGGCGAUACGGGCAGACUGGAGUACUGCAGGGGAGACUGGAAUUCCUGGUGUAGCGGUGGAAUGCGCAGAUAUCAGGAGGAACACCGGUGGCGAAGGCGGGUCUCUGGGCAGUAACUGACGCUGAGGAGCGAAAGCGUGGGGAGCGAACAGG